rnacentral:rRNA from 1 species
GUCCACGCCGUAAACGAUGAGAGCUAGUUGUCAGCCCCUCAGGGGUUGGUGACGCAGUUAACGCAUUAAGCUCUCCGCCUGGGAACUACGGCCGCAAGGCUAAAACUCAAAGGAAUUGACGGGGACCCGCACAAGCGGUGGAGCAUGUGGUUUAAUUCGAGGCAACGCGAAGAACCUUACCAGCUCUUGCAUCCCGAUCGCGGUUAGGGGAGACCCUUUCCUUCAGCUUGGCUGGAUCGGUGACAGGUGGUGCACGGCU